rnacentral:rRNA from 1 species
UACGUAGGGUGCAAGCGUUGUCCGGAAUUAUUGGGCGUAAAGAGCUCGUGAGCGGUUUGUCGCGUCGGCUGUGAAAACCCGGGGCUCAACCCCGGGCCUGCAGUCGAUACGGGCAAACUAGAGUGUGGUAGGGGAGACUGGAAUUCCUGGUGUAGCGGUGAGAUGCGCAGAUAUCAGGAGGAACACCGGUGGCGAAGGCGGGUCUCUGGGCCAUAACUGACGCUGAGGAGCGAAAGCGUGGGGAGCGAACAGG